UAUUGGUCAAUGGGCGGGAGCCUGAACCAGCCAAGUCGCGUGAGGGAUUAAGGCCCUACGGGUCGUAAACCUCUUUUGCCGGGGAGCAGGGCGGCGGACGUGUCCGCCGUUUGAGAGUACCCGGCGAAAAAGCAUCGGCUAACUCCGUGCCAGCAGCCGCGGUAAUACGGAGGAUGCGAGCGUUAUCCGGAUUUAUUGGGUUUAAAGGGUGCGCAGGCGGGAGAUCAAGUCAGCGGUAAAAUGUCGGGGCUCAACCCCGGCCGGCCGUUGAAACUGGUUUUCUAGAGUUGGAGAGAAGUAUGCGGAAUUCGUGGUGUAGCGGUGAAAUGCAUAGAUAUCACGAAGAACUCCGAUUGCGAAGGCAGCAUACCGGCUCCAUACUGACGCUGAGGCACGAAAGCGUGGGGAUCG
rnacentral:rRNA from 1 species